rnacentral:rRNA from 1 species
CAGAGGGUGCGAGCGUUAAUCGGAAUUACUGGGCGUAAAGCGCACGUAGUCGGCUUUGCAAGUCGGUUGUGAAAUCCCCGGGCUCAACCUGGGAACUGCAUCCGAGACUGCAUUGCUAGAGUAUGGGAGAGGAAAGCGGAAUUUCUGGUGUAGCAGUGAAAUGCGUAGAUAUCAGAAGGAACAUCAGUGGCGAAGGCGGCUUUCUGGACCAAUACUGACGAUCAGGUGCGAAAGCGUGGGGAGCAAACAGGAUUAGAUACCCUGGUAGUCCACGCCCUAAACGAUGACAACUGGAUGUCGGGAGGGUUUGCCUUCCGGUGUCGUAGCUAACGCGUUAAGUUGUCCGCCUGGGAAGUACGGCCGCAAGGUUG